CGCCAUUUGCUGAACAGUGCCCUUCAAAACGUGGGUUAUUAAUUUCAGGCCAACUUUGUGGCCCCAUGGAGUUGGAGAAAUGUCUAUUUAUUCCUUUUUGGUGAACUUGGGCAUCGUGUUGAUGUCUCAGAAGUUACUCACAUGCCAGAGUUGUAUCAUUGUGCAUGAAGUAUAGACAACAAUUUGGAAACGUAAACCUUGGUUUGGUGAAGCUCUGAUAGAGUUGUAAACCAAAAUGUAAAACUGUAAACAAUUAAUUGUUUUCACCAGUAACUGUGUUGGCCAGUUGGUAUCAGUUCUUACCAAAUCAAUAUUUGCAACAAGUUUUGAAAAUAUAACUUCAGGAAAAGAAAAAGUUCUGGCAUUAGACCAUGCAAAUGUAAAAGUUGAAGCAGCUGUAAAAAUAAUUAAGCAGUGGAAAGUAUGGAAGGAAAUAGAGAUGACAAAAAACAUUGGGGAAGGUGUAUCGGAUAAAUUUGAUGAAAUUCUGGUAGAGUGAUUUUGAAACUGUAACUCAGAUUAAUGAAAAUGUCUGUGGAAUAUACCAUUCAGAUUUAAUUGCAGAGGACAGUCAAUGGGUUCAGGUUAUAAAACAUGUAAAACAUACAGAAGAGAAAGUGGGUCUGACAGACUGUAGAUAUGGUCAGAAGAUUCUUGAACUCUAAACUAUACAAUAUAAACUAUACUAUUCACCAGCACAGGAAUAUGAAAUUAGAUCAUCAUGUAUCCUUGCAUUGGAAAGUCCAGACACUUUGUGGAGUCUGUUCUCAACAUAGACAAUUGGAAGAAAACAGUCGCAAAACACAUUGGAAAAAGAGUAUAUUUUGAAACACUAAUCAAUUAAAAAAAAAGUAAAUAACAACGAUAUAGUUGUUGACUUUAUAAAACAAACACAGGAUCAAUGCCUUAAUAAUAAUUCAAAAUUUUGAACAUGUAGUUUCGCUAGGUUUGUUUUAUACCUGCAGCAGCAGCAUAGGAACAAAACUUUAUAGAUGAAAUGUUCAGCUUCGAACGACAAUGUUUAAGACUGCAGAUGAAUGCAGAAAAAGGCAUAGUUGUGCAGGAGGUCUUGGUCAUAGAAAUAAAGGUCAAGGACAUUAAGAAGAAAUUAAAUGUGGAACUAAGUUCAUGCUUACAUGCUUAUUUUUAGAGUAGACUUAAAAAAAGUUGUCAAAAUGUCUGAUGGUCAUAAACAGGCACAAUCUUAUGCUGAUAAAAUGUGAAAUUAAUAAACAACAUCAAGCCACCGCUUACAAUGGAUUUCUAAAAAUGUGUUAUUUACAUCACAGGAUUUUUCUGCCUGAAUUGAAUAUUGUGUUAACAUGAAGGUGCAAGAAACUUAAAGAGAAAUUAUAUUGUUUGAAAAACCGUUUACCUAUUUUUCAUCAGGAGUGAAAAUCUUCAUGAGAGACAGGAAAUUUGACAUUUUAUGGUAUUGCAUUUUUCAACAGUCUUCUUGAAACGACCUUCAUUUUUGAAAGAUUGGAAUCGGGAGAAAAAGGAGUAAGUGUUAAAAAUGUAUUACAGGAGACACAUUGCAGUUGGGAUUCUUCGGUCUUUUAAAAGUGGUAAGUUAGUAGAUAUAUACAUGAUCAAUAUAGGGAGUACUUUCUUCUUUUGAAGGUAAUGAUCAAAAUAUGUUGCAUCAAAUGAACACCUGUUUGAUAGCAUUUUCUGAAAAUAUGCAAUCUGUUGUUUGCUGUCUGUGAUUGAAAAAUCAUGUGAAACACAGAUUUAUAUUAUAUUUUAUGUCUUUUCAGUAGAAGAAAAUACACUGUGAAAUCAUUUAUAUUUUGCUGGGGACUAAUUUUGAACCCUGAAAUUUCAUUGAAACAAACAAGUAAAAUUUCAGUUCAUUUUAUAUUCAAACAUUUGAAGUCCAUGAAAUUCAUAACCCCAGCAAACAGCCAUGUUUGGCGUAAACAAUGAAAUUUAAAGUCCACAAAAUUAUAUUAUUUCUCAGUACCAAGCUUACUAUUAUUGUUGUUUUUACAACAGGUUUUACUGUAUAAAAGUAUUUUAAGUUAGUUAUUAUUAAACCAUAGUUUUAUGUAUUUUUGAUCAGUAUGAUCUUUUUUUGUAUUAUGAAUUCAGGUGUUCAGUGACAGGUAGUAGAUAGUAAUAGUCAUACACAUGAUACAGUUGUUAAGUACAGUUGAAACUCAAUAUCACAAAUUGGCUUGCUAUCUCCAAGACAUUUUCAACUCCUGUUCUGAAAACAUGUGCACAAAAUAUUAUUUUAAGUCGAAUUUCAUUUAUCUCAAAGCAAAAUGCUUGAUCACUUAGAAUUCAAGAUACGGAGUUUCAUCUGUAUUUUCAUUGUUAUUUUCAAGUUUGGUUUAUAAGUAGGCUGAGUAUUAGCCUUUGUAAAUUUGAUAACUCAGUGAGCAGAGGCAUUAUUCAAUUACAACUUAGGUGAUGUGUUGCUUUAACUUUUCCCCUGCUAAAUUUCUAAAAUGGACUGGUCAGUCAUUAAAUUUAGGCAGUACCAUUCAUUAUUCGAAGGGGUGUUCACCAAAAAUUUACUGACAGAAUAGCGAACAGUGCAGACCAUCCUGCACAUCCGUAAAGCAACACUGUCAUCAUCUAAGUUGUAAUUGAAUAAUGCCUCUGCUCACUGAGUUGUCAAAUUUACAAAUUCUAAUACUCAGCCUACUCUUGGUCUGCACUGGUCGCAAGGCAUAAUAACUUGCCACCAGCAGGCUAAAGGUUAAAUUAACUUGGACAUCGGGUGUUUUAAUAUUCUGCAGUUUUUGGAAACAGAUGUAAGAAAGGUUCCAGAGAUUUAGGAUAAACUUACAAUAAUGAUAGUUCUGUUACUAUGGAAAUUAGAGUACAUUUAUCUUAGUAAGAAAAAGUGCUUUUUAUAUACCUAAUAACAUGUUGAGACCACACAUUGUGGUUGUAUUUGAUAGUGCCUGAGGGAAGUGUGGAUAGUGGAAUUCAGUGUAACAUGACCAUUUGGUGGUAACUUAAAAUGUAAAGCAAUAAGCACAACCAUGUUUUAUAGUAUAAGACUUACAAUUGAUAAUAUCCUGAAUGUUUUAUGUAGGAGGUAUAAUGGUAUAAUAUUUACAUUUGAUAAUAUCCAGAAUGUAAAGCAAUAAGGACAACCAUGUUUUAUGUAGGAAGUAUAAUGGUAUAAUAUUUGCAUUUGAUAAUAUCCUGAAUGUAAAGCAGUAAGCACAACCAUGUUUUAUGUAGGCGGUAUAUGGUAUAAUAUUUACAUAUGAUGAUAUCCUGAAUAUAAAGCAGUAAGCACAACCAUGUUGUAUGUAGGAGAUAUAUGGUAUAACAUUUCCAUUUGAUAAUAUCCUGAAUAUAAAGCAGGAAGCACAACCAUAUUGUAUGUAGGAGGUAUAUUGUAUAACAUUUACACUUGAUAAUAUCCUGAAUGUAAAGCAAUAAGGACAACCAUGUUGUAUGUAGGAGGUUUAUUGUAUAACAUUUCCAUUUGAUAAUAUCCUGAAUGUAAAGCAGGAAGCACAGCCAUGUUGUAUGUAGGAGGUAUAUGGUAUAACAUUUCCAUUUGAUAAUAUCCUGAAUGUAAAGCAAUAAGGACAACCAUGGCUGAUACUGUAGGAUGUAUAAUGGUAUAAUAUUCCAUUUGAUAAUAUCCUGAAUAUAAAGCAAUAAGCACAUUAACCAUGGUAGUAUUGAAAGUAUACCAUGUAACAUAUACGUUUGAUGGUACAUAAAAAGUAAAGCAAUAAGCACAACCAUGACUAGCAUAGACCUUUACACCAUUACUUUAAUUAAUGGGUGUAAACUUUUGAUUUUUUAAGUUCUCAAAAGGAACGGGUUGUGUUGUUAGCAUAAAAUCUUUUGCCUCUCACUGCUGUGGGUUCGAAACCUUACAUGGUAGAAUUGCUUUAUGUGACCAUCCAACUGGUUUAAGGAAAGGUCAUUGGUUCUACCAAGGUGUUCACCCAUGGUGAAAUAGUGUUCUGAGAGGCUCCUGGGGGGUCUUCUUUCACCUUAAAAUGCUGGAAAAUCGUCAUACAAUCUGUUAUCGUGCAGAUGUGACAUUCAUCUCCUUUAUAAAUGCAAACAGAAGUGUCUUAACAUUACAGCAUACAUAUCGUUUGUGCAGAUUUGUGUUUUGUGUAAGUGGUUAUACAACUGGCAUGUCACGUAGCACUAAUUACUUGUUUCAGGGUUGGUGACAGCCACAAAUCUGGGCAUUUUUGUCUUUUCCUGGAGCGCACAGGUCUUAAAUUGCCUUCUUCUGGAUUCUCACAUAUAUAUUACACUUUUCUGCUAAGACCCACAGUGUUAUGAAAUGAUAAUGGCAACUGGCAAAAAGGGGCAUUCUCAACAGUAAUUUGCUAAUGAUACCCAUAAUGCAUAAUUGUUACCAGUUUCAAUGUUUGUGAUUGUGAAUUUUAAUUUUCCCCAGUCUCUUUGCAAGUCUUCCUACAAUUUAAGCUCACCUGAACUUUGUCCAGGAUGAGCUAAUAGUGUAAAUGGAUAGUCCAUCAUGAGUGGUCAUUUUUAGCUCAUCUGAUUUUUUGAAAGAAAAUGAUGAGUUAUUGUCAUCACUUGAGCGGUUGUCGGCGUCGGCGUCGGUGUCGGCGUCGGCGUCGGCGUCGGCGUUGCCUGGUUAAGUUUUAUGUUUAGGUCAGCUUUUCUCCUAAACUAUCAAAGCUAUUGCUUUGAAACUUGGAAUACUUGUUCACCAUCAUAAGCUGACCCUGUAUAGCAAGAAACAUAACUCCAUCUUGCUUUUUGCAAGAUUUAUGGCCCCUUUUGUACUUAGAAAAUAUCAGAUUUCUUGGUUAAGUUUUAUGUUUAGGUCAAAUUUUCUCCUAAACUAUCAAAGCUAUUGCUUUGAAACUUGGAAUACUUGUUCACCAUCAUAAGCAGACCCUGAACAUCAAGAAACAUAACUCCAUUUUGCUUUUUGCAAGAAUUAUUGCCCCUUUUGGACUUAGAAAAUCAGUUUUCUUGGCUAAGUUUUAUGUUUAGGUCAGCUUUUCUCCUAAACUAUCAAAGCUAUUCCUUUAAAACUUGCAACACUUGUUCACCAUCAUAAGCUGACCCUGUACAGCAAGAAACAUAACUCCAUCCUGCUUUUUGCAAGAUUUAUGGCCCCUUUUGGACUUAGAAAAUAUCAGAUUUCUUGGUUAAGUUUUAUGUUUAGGUCAACUUUUUCUCUUAAACUAUCAAAGCUAUUGCUUUAAAACUUGCAGCUCUUGUUCACCAUCAUAAGCUUACCCUGUACAGCAAGCAACAUAACUCCAUCCUGCUUUUGCAAUAAUUAUUGCCCCUUUUGGACUUAGAAAAAUCAUUUUCUUGGUUGAAUAUUAUGUUUAAGUCAACUUUUCUCAUAAACUAUCAAAGCUAUUGCUUUAAAACUUGCAACAGUUUUUCACCAUCAUAAGUGGACACUGUACAUCAAGAAACAUAACUCUAUCCUUAGCUUUUUGCAAGAGUGAUGGCCCUUUUUAGACUUAGAAAAUCAUGGGUAGGACAAUAUUUUCUAUUAUACAAAAAAAAUCAGAUGAGCGUCAGCACCCGCAAGGCGGUGCUCUUGUUUUUCUAUUAUUCUUAUCAAAUACAACUGGCAUGGACUUAUGUUUUAAUAUAUCCGUCUCUGAAAGAGCGGGGCGUAUGUGAACACCCGUGGCAGGCGGGUGGUUGGUGUCCAAAGCUCAAGUUAAACAGCUUUCAUCUGAUCUUCACAAAACUUGAUGACAAUGUUUGUGGGUAUAAUAUCUUGGCCAAGUUCGAUAACCAGCGAAACCACCCCAGGCACUCUUGGAUAAUUGCCCUUGAAUUACUUGAAUAAACUGCAGUUUUCAUCCGAUCAUUACCAAAGUUGCUGACAAUGUUUCUAUGCAUAAUAUCUCGGCCAGGUUUGAUAACCAGCCAAAUCGCCCCAGGCACUCUUGGAUGGAUUAUGGCCCUUGAAUUACACUAAUAUCUGCGAAUUUAGCCUUGUCUGCUCUAUACGAUCUUCACUAAACUUGCUGACAAUGUUUUAUGGCAUAAUAUCUCGGCCAUGUUCGAUAACCAGUGAAAUCGCCCCAGACACUUAUGGAUUAUGGCCCUUGAAUUACUUGAAAAACUGCAAAUUAGUCUUAUCUGCUCUCCAAGUCAAACAGUUUUCAUUAGAGCGACGUAUUUUGUGACAGUUUGGCACUUCUGUUUCUAAUGUUAACAUGUAUUAGUAUCAAAUGCAGAGUUUUUUUACAAACAAAUGCAGAUUUAUGGUGAUGUACAAUGAGUAUGUCUGAAUCAUCAGUUGUGGAAGGAUGGUCAGCUUGUAGCUCAGUUUGACACCUCUUGCUUUUGUAGAUAUUCCUUAUUCAGUAAAACUUCAUUCACUCAAACCGACAGGACCAGCAAAAUUUGUUUGAAUUAUAAGUAGUUGACCAGAAGCCAUAGAACAUUAUACAUUAAUGAGGGAUUUUACUGGUUGUUAUUUAACAUCAUCACUCACAUCAUAUGUCACAAGAGCCAUAAUUUUUGCACCAGUAUUUGAUGAAUUAUCACCCCUCAUUACCUAGAAUUUCAGGUUAAUGUUUUGGUGCACUUUCACUCUAUCUCAGUUAUUACUAAAUGGAUUUAAUUCAAACUUUAAAUAGUUGUUCCGCCUUUUCACCCACAUGAUAUGACACAAGAGGCAUAACUCUGGCACAAAUUUUUCAUAGAUAAUGCCCCCUUUUACUUAGACUUUAGGGUUUUUUUUUAGAAAUUACUAAAUGGAUUUGAUACAAACUUGGAAGUAGUUGUUCCACAUCAUCACCCACAUUAUAUGACACAAGGUGUAUAACUCUUGCAUCAAUAUUUUAUGAAUUACGAAUACUUGAUACAUACUGCAGAUGUAACCUGUGAUCAUUCCUCAUCUUCAGAUAUCACCUGACCUCAGUCACAUUGACCUCGUUUUGGACUAAGGUUGCUUUGUAUGAGCCAUCUCUUGGUUAACCAAAUGGGACCGUUUCGUCUAGCAUCAAUACUGCUUACAAGAAUUAAUUGAUACUAAUGCAGAUGUAACCUGUGACCAUUCCUCAUCUUCACCUUACCUCAGUUUGACCUUGACCUCGUUUUGGAAAAUCUAUCGACAAGGAUGCCACCGGGGGCAUCAAACGUUUAUUGAACACAGCUUCUUGUUCAUGAAUUAUGCCCCCUUUGACUUAGAAUUUAAGGUUAAUUUUGAUGCAUUUUCAUUAUAUCUUAGUAAUUACUAAAUGGAUUUGAUUCAAACUUGAAGUAGUUGUUCCACAUCAUCACCCACAUUCAUAUGACACAAGGUGUAUAACUCUUGCACCAGUAUUUUAUGAAUUAUGCUUUUUGCUUAGAAUUAUACUUAUUUAGUGUUUUGAUACACUUUAUCUUUAUCUCUCUUAGAACUUCAUAAUUUUGACUCAGACUCAAGCAAUUAUGCAAUAUCUUCAUCCACCACUGGAGUCAUUGAACACUCCAGUAACAGCUCCAGCUUCCAAAGAUGUGCCCAGUUUCACUAUCCUGCCUCGAAAUAGUCGAAGGCUCUGUCUCCUGUGACAGCUCGUGUUAAAUUCUGUUAUUUCAUAUGCGCUUGGAAGAUUUUAACUGUGACUGAUUUUUAAAAACUUUAAUAUUAUAUCAAGCGCGAACGAAGAAGAAGAAUAUUAUAGCAAGGACCAGUCAGAACAUAGGUUUAUCAUGCACCCCUAUGUUAAACUUCCCAAACCAGGUGGGGUGACAAUGGUUUUGUGUAUCAGACACCCACUUGAUAACAGUUAACUCUGCCCGCUGUUUCAUGGAUUACCUUUCUUAAUUUGAUAUGGACAAUUUAGCCAUUGUGCUAUUUUUUUUUCUGUAUGUGUCUAUAUAAUAUAGACUUGAUAAGCUGUUGAGACAACGAUCCUUGUUGAUUAUGCACGGUGGUUGCCAUUUGGGUCCUGCUGAAGGGAUUACCCCAAUUAUGUUUAUUAAAAACUGAAUGAUAAGGUGCAUGAUAAAUAUAAUUAAAUUUAGUGGUUAGUGUCUUGUAAAUUAAGUGUUAUCAGGCUCGAACGAUACGUGGUUCAUUGGGCUCAGCAGAGCAUGCCCAUUCAUCCCCAUAGCAGCCUUGCCUGAUAACACUUUUAUUCCAAGACCCGUUAUUCUAUAUAACACUGCUACUAAAGUUUAACCCUUUUCUACAAAAUUGGGAAAUUUUGCCAUGAGAAAGUAGCCAGCUCUUUCUGGUUUCAUAAUGACAAACUUCUGAACAAUGCCUUCACGUUUUACAAGCAAAGGCAUUUCUCCUGCCUCAUUCUCAAGUACAACUAUAUGUUUGCCUAAGACCCCAGUGGCGGUGUCUUUGGUUUAUGAAACAGACUUGGAUGUUUAGUGAUUGACAAAGGCAUAUCCUUUGUUGUCUGAACAUUGUCUGAACAACUUGUAGCAGUCUGAAUCUUUCUGAACAGGGAGUUUAUGUUCUGAACAUUUCUGAAUUUUCUGAAUUUGUACUGAAUUGUAUCUGAAAGAUUCAGAAAUGAAUUCAGAUACUUUCAGAAGAUGAUUUUUCUGAGUUUCGGAAGAUGAUUUUUCUGAACUUCUACUGAAAUUUCCUGAUAAGUCUAAGAAGUAAAUUCAGGAUACAUCAGAUGACCGAUUUUUUCUAAACUUCUACUGAAAUGCAUUUCAGAAAUAUGACAACUAGAGCUGUCUGUAAGACAGCACUCUCGACUUUUCUCAGUGCUUGACUCUUCAGCUUUGCUAAUAAAAACUUCCUAAAACUUUAACCAAAAAAGUUAAAAAGGGACAUAACUGUCAAAAUUCAAGUCAGAGUUAUGGGGUUUGUUUCUCCUGGUGUAGACUUUGAUGGUAUAACUAUUUUAAGUUUCAAGUCAAAAACUUUGAAUUAAAUCCAUUUAGUAAUAAAAAACUUUAUCAAAAUCUUUAACCAAAGAAUUUCUAACUUAAGUGGCAUAAAGUCUACAUUAUUUUUACAUUAAAAUACUCCUAUAUGUUAUUUCUGAAUUAUUCUAUUAUGGUGCUGCCGCUAGAAAAAAGAAGAUAUUAUCUUUAAUUAUCUUAUUCUUCUGGGAUUACAUUUUGUUUAAAGUCACCCAAAACAUGCUUAUAAGCUGACAUGUCCUAUAGUCUCUCAAAGUCCUACAAAUGCAAAAUUCAAAAUUGUAUAUGUAUACCUUCCUUUCAAAUGAUUUUUCAGGUUUUGACCCUAAGUCUUUUAAGAGGGUUUGAUUUUUUCCACUUGACAAUGUUUUGACCUUAUGAUCACUAAUAUUGACAUGGUUUAAACAUGGUCACAGUAUGGAUAUAUCAUGGUCACAAAUUUUCUACAUGACCAUUGAUGUACAUUUCAUUGUCGACAAUCAUUAGGUCAAAACAUGGUCAUCAUUCAAUAAUAUAGCAGUUGUUGUAAACACAGGGUGAUAAUACACUUUCUAUGGUUGAUCUGGUACAUUGUCCACAAUUGUCCCCAUUGCAUCAAGGAGAAAUUCUCCACACCCUUCCUUUAUAAGCUGCAUUGCGAUUUGCAGCUGAGUGUCUGUAAACAUUAAUAUUAUUAUAAAUGACUGCAAUUGGUGUUUUAGAAAAGUACCAAAUAUAUCCGCAGGAAGAGAAACUGAAAGUGUAUCUCUUACUGUAUCUGUCUCCCUAAAUACAUCCCUGUCCAUAAGUUCACUGUUAAUAACUUCAUGUAACAUGUGUCGCAAGGCCAUUUUUGUAGAAAAGCUGUUGUAGUUGCCACUGUUUAAACUAGUUUGACUUGCAGCAGACAAAUAAUCAUGCCUGUGUGAAAAAUUCUCAUGGAAUCCAUACUGGUGCAAAGACGAUAACCUGUUAAUUACAUACAUAUCUACAUGUAUUUAUGCAAUGUAAAUAUCAUAAAUUUGUUAAAUAGUCUGAACAAGAUUGACAAUAAAGAGCUAUAUAAAAGAAUUAAUACAACACAUAUUAAACUAAGUCAUGCACCCAUAUGAAAUUAAAGCGUCAGUGUAUGGAAAAAUAUUGACGUUUCCUUUUCCAUUGUAACUGAACAGGGGAAUAGAAACAAGUACCGGGUAUGUAAUAAAAUGCAAUAUAGACCUCCUGAAACGUAAUAAUAUUCACCUGUCUAUAAAUAAAUACAACAAAACUGGUUUUUCCAGUUCCAUAAUGUCUCUUACAACAUAAUACUAACAAGUCUAUAAAUAGAUUUCUUGUAUCUUUCAACAUAGAUGGCAUUGAAUAUGGAUACACAUGUUUGAUCCAUAUCACAAUAUAAUUAUCACACCUAGUAUCCAAACUUACAUAUCAAAGUUGAACCUGUUUUGAAACUGACAAACAUACAGCCCUUUAUCCUUCAAAUCUACUGCUAAAGAAAGAGCAAUAAUUUUACUGAUUGGAACAAAUGUAAUCUCUCCUGUUUUUUCAACCUGUGUUAUGUGAUUAACUUGCAUUUCAUUUUCAACAUUUUCAUAACAGUCUACUAAUGCAAUGGUUUCACCUGUUGAAUUAAGAAAUACAAAAUACAAUAUCUGUCCAAAUUUGAUCAAUGUGCAUUCAAAAUACUGAAUAAACGAAUUAUUCAUUUUUAA